UACGUAGGGUGCAAGCGUUGUCCGGAAUUAUUGGGCGUAAAGAGCUCGUAGGCGGUUUGUCGCGUCUGCUGUGAAAACUCGGGGCUUAACCCCGGGCCGGCAGUGGGUACGGGCAGACUAGAGUGCGGUAGGGGAGACUGGAAUUCCUGGUGUAGCGGUGAAAUGCGCAGAUAUCAGGAGGAACACCGGUGGCGAAGGCAGGUCACUGGGCCGCAACUGACGCUGAGGAGCGAAAGCAUGGGGAGAGAACAGG
rnacentral:rRNA from 1 species